UGAGUAGUGGUGAAAGGGGAAGGGGUUUAUAAAUAGAAAAAGAAAUUUUGAAGAAAGGUUUUAGUAAGAAACAUUCGGCUGGUCAAAUAAGGGGUAAUUGGGUGUUUGAUUGGUGAAAGUGUUUUAUUUGUUUGAGGAGAGUGGUAGUGGUGUUUUAAUUUCCUAGGUGAAAAAGUAUGAUUUGAUGGGUAAAACGUUUUUUUUUUAAUUUGAAAAAUGGUGGACGGUUGGGGAGAUAGGGAAGGGUUAAAAUGGGGGUAUGGGGUUGUAGUUUUCUAGGUGAAAAGUUGGAUGUGAUAGGUGAAAGAUUAGGAUUUGAUAGGUGAAAGGUUGAUGGGUGUAGGGUUUUUUUUUUUAUAUUUGAAAAGGGGUGGACGAUUGGGGGUAAAAAUUUGGGUUUUUGAUUUUUGAUUUUUUUGAUUUUUUUAUUGGGAAUGGUGGUUUCUUUUUUUAUUUUAUUUUUUUUGGGGGGGUUUGAAUUUGGGUAGGUAUGAUAUGUUUGGGUUUGGUUAAUGGGUUAGCUUUGGUAUUGGAUUGGUUUAAAUGAGGGAUUUAAUUUUGUCUUGGAAUGUCUCCCUGUAAAAUAAUAAAUAAUAAAAAUAAAUAAUAAGGAAAAAUUAAAAUUAAAAUGUGUAUUUUUUUUAUUUCUUGAACUUAUUAGCU
rnacentral:lncRNA from 1 species